CUACUCUAUUUAAGUCUGGCAACAGGAAAAAUACCUACAACCUCGUACUUUCUCAUGGGAUAGGAAAGAAAAGACUGUAGACUCCCAGAAGAAUAUCAUAAACAAGGAUAUACGGGAAAGAUAGCACUUAAGUUUCUGCCAUUCCAAUGACAAAUGAAGGGAGGAUCUUGCUUAUGUUCAUUGAUACUUGCAUGCUUUGAUACCCAUGUGCUCAAGACAUCAUUUGGGAAUGAGUAUUGGGUAAGUAUAAGAGAUUCCAGCACUCUGAAUCUAUCAUGACACUUGCUGCUGCUCUCACACCCAAAUACUUCUUCUGUUAGAUUUUUCUGUAGCUUUCAGAUACUCUUAGAAAUGUGUGUUAGCUGAGAUGUGCCACAAUAUAGUCAUUUCUCAUUAACAUGGGACGUUUCUUUAAAAAAUGGCAGCUGGUCAUGUGUCUUGUAUGGUUUUAAACUGCUGCUGGUUCACGAUGAUAAAUUCCAAAAUAAUUUAGUCAUUAAUUAUCUAGCUCUUGUUAACCUCACCAGCCUUACCUUCUGCCUUCAAGUUCCUGAAAUUUUCUGAACUUUGAAUCUCUGAACACAUCAGGCCAUGUCAUAUCUUUGUGCCUUUACACAGGUUUCUUUGUCUGCCAAAAGUACUUUUCCCCCAAUUAUUAUUUGUCUAUUUAAAAUAUGAUCUCCUUUAGAAAGUGAUUAUGCUUCUUACCAAUAGUUUUGAUUCUUUUGCCUUUCCAGGCAUAUAAAAGACUGUACUUCUCUACUCCCUUAAACUUAGGUAUGGCCAUGUGACUUGGCCAAUACGGUGUGAGAAGUUCACUGUUCCCUUCUGCUUGGAAACACAUAAGAGCCCAUGCAUGACUCUAUAUAUGUUCUUUUCCCUUGCAGUAUCAAUUGAAGAGGCCAUGUGUUCAAGAUGAUGGAGCUACCGAGUGGCAAAUCUUCCCUCAGCCGUGGACCAGUGUGUCACCAUAUAGAGAACAGUUACCCAGGAGUGUACUCAUCCUGUAUGAAAUUCGGGUCCAAAUUUCCUUGGUACUAAUAUCCCUGGAAGCAUCCCUCUGCCAAUAAUAACAUAGAUGUCGGUGGAAAUGAGAGCACUUUGAAGAUACAUCCAUGAUGCUGGCUACCCGUAAAGAAAAUAAACUGAGUGUCAAUGGAACAGACAGAGAAUCAGAGAACAAAAGAAAGUCAAGAGAUUUACCCAAGGUCAGUGAGCACAUUUGUUAUAGAGCUGAGAAUAGAUGUCACCUACCUCCUUGGCCAGUGUCCUGUACAACAGAUCCUCUGGUCAAUAUUUCUUUUUGUGCCAUGAAGGGCAGUAGACAAACCUCUUUAGUAUAACAAAUGUGAGUCCUGGUGCCUUGGCUUUUUACUUGAAUUUACUUCUAUCCUUAAAAUCUUCUCUUCAGUGCAUUCUCAGGAGUACUGUAGUUUUAAGUUUUUUUUUCUAUUUAAACAUAUAUAUUUAAGUACUACAUGUGUAAAUAUAUAGUUUAAGAAAAUUGAGACAUAUCAUUUUACAGAUUAGUUACAUGUAUUAAUAUGAAAAUUCAUGCAAUUUCUAUCCUAUCUUCAAGGUACAGUUCAAAUACUGAAUAAUUUUUGUUAUUCUUACUCCAACAUACCAAAAUUAAUUAUUCUGUCUCCUAUAAUCCUAUAUUUAUUAUUAUACUUAUUUUAAUUACCUGUGCCUUUAUCUGGUUUCUUUAGAUGCAGAUAAUUUUUCUUAUCCCUAUUGGGAUCCCUCAUCCUUAGUAGUUUCUGGCAUGUAGUAUGAAUUUAAUAAAUGCUAAGAGAAAAUAUGUUUAUAUACACCUUCAAUGAUUUUUCCCCCUAGAUUCCAUUGUACUUUCAAGAAGCAUCAUAGUAGAUAUGAUGCAGACCCAACAAUGUAACCCAUAAUAAAUACCACACUUAGGGCUUUCCAGUGCUUACUUUAUACGGCAUUUUGCUCUUGCAACUGUGCAGCAAGGAAAGAAAAAUCUCCUGCCUCUGCCAGUGGUAGGGUAGGGAGAGGGGGGAGCUGGCAGAGUGGAAGGGAGAAGCCUCUAUGUUUUGACUAUUUCUUUAAACACAUGGGUAGAAUCAUUGAUUCAUUUGCACUCCAUUGUUUCUGCUAGGAAUGCAAGAAAUCUGGUAGGGCUCAGAGAACAAUAUGGGAAUGAACAGAGUAGAAAGGGUUCAGGUGAUUAUUUAAACUUCAGGAUUGACAUUUUCUAGAAGGAACAGAAUGUGUUUAGGUUACUUCCAAGAUUUGCAAGGUAAAUUCGAGCCGUGAGAACACCACCGAGGGGUUCCUGGUGCUUCUGUAGAUCUGAGAGUGCUGCUAUCUGAAGACAAAUUGUGGCUCGUGUCUGACGAGGGAGCUGAUCAAUGGUCAGUGACUAGAAUCCGAUGUGAGGGCUGAGUGCAGGACUGAGAAAGGAAACAAAUCAAGAAGUCAAAACCAGGUUGACAGCCCUGCUCAUAUAGAGGAGAAUAAUUUAGAACACAAGAGUAUCAAUGUGAACACAGUUGGCUACAUAAUGUGUGUUGAUAUGUGCAUCUGUGUGGGUGGGGGGGCACUUCAUCAGGCUUAACAUACAUUAUGAGUGGAUACGUUAGGAAGUUAACUACCGCAGGAUUAGAAAUUUGCACUCUGAAGGAUGGCAUUUUAUGCAUUUUGUGUUUUCUUUGUACAUUUAAUUUAUCUGGGGCUCCUUUACUUUUUAAAAUAAAAUUCCUCUGGAAAAAUUAUUCUCUCAAUUAUGCUAAGGGGAACAAGGAAAAUUUUGAUUUGGUGAUUUUCGAGCCAGUGUUAUUGAUUGACUGAUCACUUGACAUGUUGCUGGGCCCCACAACUUUAAAAAGGGAAACAGCAAAGUCUCAUUAAAAAUAAAAGGUUAGUCACUGUUGAGCUACUGAGAGGUGAGGUUGCAGAGGAUUACAUGUCUUCCCAAAGUGAGGAGAUUUUAUUCCAGUUUGACCAGCCUUCAGAUUCCCCACCUUUUACUGAAAACACAGGCCGGUCCCCUUGUAGGGAUGAUACGUCAGUUUCAUUGGUCUACUCUGCUCUGAAUUCUUAAAAAGUUUUUGGAAAACUUCCAGGGUCAUGGAUUACAGCACAUCUUCAGAGUGCUUGAACCCAUCAGCCAACUAUUGUCUAGUCUGUGUGUCCUGAUAACUGGCUGAGUAAGUCAAGUAGUCCUGAAUCACUAGUGUAGCACAGAGAGUCCGUGCUCUGAGGCCUCCUCUUUUCUCCCACUCUCACUCACAGUCCCCCACCUCAGGACACCCUAUCAGAGUUUCAUCCUUUAGGGGACAUCAGUCUCAGUUGAUGAGAUACCCUUUCCUGCUCAGGGCUUCUUUCAUAUCUUUGGAAUCUUCCCAUUUGAAAAGAGGGUAGGUCAGCUAGGAGCAGGGUUUUAAAGGAGGGUGGUGUACUCUCCUAGGUCCUGGCUUGAGGGUGGAAGAGGAAAUAUCAAAGACACCCCUAGGGUGACUCGCUAGGAGCUUGCCCCUCUGCCGGAGAUGUUCCUCCUAUAGAUCUUCUUCACUCGAACUUUAAAAGGUAUUCUGUUUGUUUAUUCGCUUGCUUUAACAUGGAAUGCUUUCCUCUCAUAGAAGUCUAUUUUAUAGAAAUUAAAAGGUACCUUAGAUUAAAAACAAUUACCUUUGACUUUACACUUUCAUUAAAAUUCACCGAAUAUUUAGCCAUGUCUGGCUUGAAAAUGAUGAUGAAGUUGGAAUUUUCCCCUUCUUUUCUUGGAAAUCACACAAAUAUUAUAAGGAGGAUAUGAAACAAAAGCACAAAUUCCAAAUGAAACCUGACUACCAAGUAAGUAAAGGGACUGCCAAAACAAACAGAAAUUGAGUAGGGAAUGUGUGGGGAGGGAAACAGAGAGAGGACUCCUAUAUUCGAAAGUGCUGGCUCUUUACAUCUCUCUGAGGGAAAGAAUACAGAGCAAAUCCCAGGUCUGCAACAGCAGGAACAGAUAGCCUGUGGUGGGAGUUCCCGUAAGGAGAAGAGGUAUUUGCAUGAAGCAGAAGCCCAGUACCUGUGCAGAAGAGAGAUGGAAACACAGUCCCACAGCGGGAGAGAAUGGUAGCAGAAACAGACUCGGGGGCUUUAUGGAGAGAGGAACAUAUUAACUCCUGACCUACAAGAAAGUUGGGCAGGACUUCCCUGACAGACUUCGUACUAAACAGCUGUCCCAAGACACUGAAGUGAGGAUGGCCUCACAUAACUCCAGGGUCUUACUGUUGCCCAGGCUGGAGUAUGGUGGCAUGAUCACCGCUCACUGCAGCAGCCUCUAUCUCCUGAGUUCAAGUGAUCUUCCCACAUCAGUCUCCUGAGUAGCUGGGACUACAGGCAUGCACCACUAUGCCUGGGUAAUUUUUGUAUUUUUUGCAGAGAAGGGGUUUUUCCAUGUUGCCCAGGCUGGUCUCGAACUCUUGAUAUCAAGGGAUCCACUCACCUUGCCUCCCAAACUAUUGAGAUUACAGGUGUGAGCCACUGCAACCAGCCUUGCAGUCAUUAAUCUUUAUGCUGCUCAUAUUAUUGCAGAUUAGGCUGUGGGAUCCUCUCUUAAAAUGGGCUUUUGUGCCCCUUUGACAUGAUCCCAUAUGUUUGUGCUAGCUUUCUAGCAUGAUGGUAUAUGCUGAACAAAUCCAGUAUAUUUCCUGAUCAGACCCGGAAGCAAUUUUUAUCAAGGAGUCCUGGUUUCCUUGAGAGAGAACUGGUAUUUAGAGACCAUAAUGUGAGCUGUAGGAGUGUUUCUUUCUACUGCGUCAUUACUUCUGCGUUUUCGAUGGAAAGAACUAGAAAAUACCCUCCUUCUUUUAGAGAGAAUAAAAUAUGGGUUAUACUGAUAUUUCCAAUUUAAAUAUAAGAUUACAUGAUUGCUACUCAAAUUCUUGGAUUUGAUACUUGAAUCUCUUCUCUUAUUCUAAAAAUCUUGAAUUCUAAUAAAAUCAAUAUAAUUAAUUAUUUUCUUUAUCAUGGAAAGCAUCUAUAAUGAUUUGAAAAUAAUUUCAAAAUUUUGUUAACAAGUCUACAGAAUCUUUCAAAUUUUGUUGCAGUUAUUUUGGAUCUUGGAAUAUAUUCCAUUAGAGAUUUGCUGUUAAGGUACUAUGUUUUAAAAGCUCAUGAAGUAAUUUAUUUCCCUGUUUGAUUGUGCUGUUAAGGUCAUAUGCAGUAGGUUCAUUUUCUGUGGUCUGGUUUUGAUUUUUAAAAAUCACUUUUAAAUUAUUAUUUAAAUUACGUAAAUUAAAAAUGUAUAUGGCUCCAGUCAAAAUUAUGUGCAUAAAUUCAGAAAAGUUUGCUUUCAUUCCUGUCUUAUCCUCCUUUCAUUGGUAAACAUAUCUUAGCCUUAUUCUUCCAUUAAAUCAUUGUGAAAAUAUUAAAAACUACGUAUGAAAAUUUGAUUCUCUCUUUUCUUAUACAAAAGUUAGAAAACUAUUAAUAUUGUUCUCCACUUGUAUUUUUCACUUAACAAUAUAUCCUAGAAAUUACCAGCAUAUAGAUGUCUUCCUUGUCCCAUUUUACCAUUGCAUAGUACUCCCUUGAGUGAACAUGAAUAACAUAGUUAAUUUAACAAGAUUGUUGUAAGACUGCUAUUGCUGGACAUUUGGCUCUUUCUUUUCUAUGAUGAACAACACUUUCAUGCAUAGCUUAUAUAUAUAAAAUUUUCCCCCACUUAAUCUUUGAGAUAGAGUCCUAGAAGUGGGAUUACUGGGUCAAUGGAAAAUAAAUACACAUGUAAUUUGGUUAUAUUUUAUCAAAUUUUCCUUCAUGUGUGUUAUGUAAUUUUGCAUUUCUACCAACAAUACAUGGCAGUACUUGUUUAUCCACAGUUUUAUCAAUGAGAAGUAUGGAUUUUUUGCUAAUUUGAUCAGUGGAAAGUAGUUUCUUAGUGAGUCAACAUUUAUAUCUGUCUUAUCAUGAGUGAGGCUAAAUAUUGUUUUCUGUGUUUAAAGGCCAGUUGAAUUAAUUUUUCUGUAAACUGU
rnacentral:lncRNA from 10 species